UACAGAGGGGGCAAGCGUUGUUCGGAAUUACUGGGCGUAAAGGGCGCGUAGGCGGCCUGUUAAGUCGAACGUGAAAUCCCCGGGCUCAACCCGGGAACUGCGUCCGAUACUGGCAGGCUUGAAUCCGGGAGAGGGAUGCGGAAUUCCAGGUGUAGCGGUGAAAUGCGUAGAUAUCUGGAGGAACACCGGUGGCGAAGGCGGCAUCCUGGACCGGCAUUGACGCUGAGGCGCGAAGGCGUGGGGAGCGAACGGG
rnacentral:rRNA from 1 species